rnacentral:rRNA from 1 species
AUGGCGGCGGAGGCGGCCAACAGGGAGGAGGCCGAGAGGGCGCUCCGGCGCGCGGAGGAGCACUUCCUCGCCGGCAACGUGGCGGGGGCGCGCCGGCUGGCCGCCAAGGCCCGGCGGAUCUCCCCGUCGCUCCCCGGCGCCGCGCACGCUCUCGCCGCCUACGACGUCCACGCCGCCGCGGCCGGGACCCAGCACCGCGCGGGCUACUGGCACGACGUCCUCGGCGUGGGCCGCUCCGCAUCCGCCUCCGCCGUGAAGAGGCAGUUCCGGCGCCUGUCCCUCCUCGUCCACCCCGACAAGAACCGCUCCGCCGCCGCCGAGGGCGCCUUCAAGCUGCUAGGCCAGGCCUGCGACGCCCUCUCCUCCGGCUCCGGCGCCGGCCACGUCCCCUACCACAGCAGCGCCGCCGCCACCGCGGCCUCCGCGCAGGAGUGGUACCGAUCGCACCACGCGGCGAAGCAGCCCACGCCGCCGAAGCCGUCCAAGCCGCCCGCGCCCGAGGCGCCGCCGCCGCCACCUGCCGCCGAUUCGGCGUCGCGCGCGAGGAGGUUCGUCCGCGUCCGCUGCGAGCGCUGCAGGGUGGCCAGGGAGGUCCCCGGCGGCGAGCUGGCGGGCGGGCAGGCCAAGUGCGUCCGUUGCCAGACCGUGCUGCGCGAGCAGGAGCAGAGGAGGACGUACGUGUGGACGUCGUCGGGGUCGUACCACCAGGUGCCCAGCGAGAACCCUCAUCCUCCGCCGCCGCCCACGAAGCCGCCGACGUUCCAGUGCCCCGCCCGGUGCCCGCAGUGCGAGACGCAGUUCACGUCCAUGGUGUCCGCCGGCACGUGGAACCUCCGGUGCCGGAACUGCCUGAAGCGCGCCAUGGUCAAGGUGAAAGGCCCCGAGGAGGCGACGUGUACGUGA